CCAGACUCCUACGGGAGGCAGCAGUGAGGAAUAUUGGUCAAUGGCCGGGAGGCUGAACCAGCCAAGUCGCGUGAGGGAAGACGGCCCUACGGGUUGUAAACCUCUUUUGUCAGGGAGCAAGGUGCAGGUCGGGACCUGCUGUGAGAGUACCUGAAGAAAAAGCAUCGGCUAACUCCGUGCCAGCAGCCGCGGUAAUACGGAGGAUGCGAGCGUUAUCCGGAUUUAUUGGGUUUAAAGGGUGCGUAGGCGGGACCUUAAGUCAGCGGUAAAAUUGCGGUGCUCAACGCCGUAGAGCCGUUGAAACUGGGGUUCUUGAGUGAGCGAGAAGUAUGCGGAAUGCGUGGUGUAGCGGUGAAAUGCAUAGAUAUCACGCAGAACCCCGAUUGCGAAGGCAGCAUACCGGCGCUCAACUGACGCUGAGGCACGAAAGUGCGGGUAUCGAACAGGAUUAGAUACCCCUGUA
rnacentral:rRNA from 1 species